rnacentral:rRNA from 1 species
AUCUGAGCGUCUUAUUUUAAUAAGUCAAAACUUUCAACAACGGAUCUCUUGGUUCUGGCAUCGAUGAAGAACGCAGCGAAAUGCGUUAAGUAAUGUGAAUUGCAGAAUUCAGUGAAUCAUCGAAUCUUUGAACGCACAUUGCGCCCAUUAGUAUUCUAGUGGGCAUGCCUGUUCGAGCGUCAUUUCAACCCUUAAGCCU